rnacentral:rRNA from 1 species
UUUCGCAAUGCCCGAAAGGGUGACGAAGCGACGCCGCGUGAGGGAAGAAGGCCUUCGGGUUGUAAACCGCUGUCGGGAGUUAAGAAAUGUAAGGAUGUUAAUAGCGUCUUUACUUGACUAAGGCUCCGGAGGAAGCCACGGCUAACUCUGUGCCAGCAGCCGCGGUAAUACAGAGGCGGCAAGCGUUGUUCGGAAUUAUUGGGCGUAAAGAGCACGUAGGCGGCUGUGUAAGUCGGUUGUGAAAGCCUUCCGCUCAACGGAAGAACGGCAUCCGAUACUGCAUGGCUUGAGUGUGGGAGGGGAGAGUGGAACUUCUGGUGGAGCGGUGAAAUGCGUAGAUAUCAGAAGGAACGCCGGCGGCGAAAGCGGCUCUCUGGCCCAUAACUGACGCUGAGUGUGCGAAAGCUAGGGGAGCAAACGGGAUUAGAUACCCCGGUAGUCCUAGCCGUAAACGAUGGGCACUAAGUAGAGGGGUUUU